UAUNGGUCAAUGGACGCGAGUCUGAACCAGCNAAGUAGCGUGAAGGAUGACUGCCCUAUGGGUUGUAAUCUUCUUUUAUAUGGGAAUAAAGUUUUCUACGUGUGGAAUUUUGUAUGUACCACAUUCAUAAGGCUCGGCUACCUCCGUGCCAGCAGCCGCGGUAAUACGGAGGAUCCGAGCGUUAUCCGGAUUUAUUGGGUUUAAAGGGAGCGUAGGUGGAUUGUUAAGUCAGUUGUGAAAGUUUGCGGCUCAACCGUAAAAUUGCAGUUGAAACUGGCAGUCUUGAGUACAGUAGAGGUGGGCGGAAUUCGUGGUGUAGCGGUGAAAUGCUUAGAUAUCACGAAGAACUCCGAUUGCGAAGGCAGCUCACUGGACUGUUGACUGACACUGAGGCUCGAAAGUGUGGGUAUCAAACAG
rnacentral:rRNA from 1 species